GCAUAUUUAAUCUGAUCCGUCUGUACUAUUGAGAGAUUUGAGAAGAAAUUGCUGACAAGCUACAGGCCUAAAGGACAGAAAAAAUGAGCUUUUCUAAUAAAUUCUCUUCUUAGUGGACAAGACUGUAGGUCAAACUGAACAGCAGAUUGUUUUCACAACCCAAUGCUGAUCACUGGAGUUUAUCUGCAGUUUGUCAGAAGAGCAAGGAAAGGACUCUCAGUCUGAGAUGAGUCUCUCACAGAAACAGAGUGUAAGAUCAGACUCACAUGUGUCCAGCUCUGUGUCUGUGAAGAGUGACUGGUCAAAAGAUGCCGACCACCAAACUUCAGUGAGAUAAAAGCAUCAUCUACCAAAAGUGUAAGAUCAGACUCACAUGUGUCCAGCUCUGUGUCUGUGAAGAGUGACUGGUCAAAAGAUGAACCACCGGACUUAAGUGAGAAAAAAACAUCAUCUACCA